rnacentral:rRNA from 1 species
UUUUUAAUUCAACAUCGAGGUCGCAAUCAUUAAUAUCAAUAUGAUCUUUCUAAUAAUAUUACGCWGUUAUCCCUAAGGUAAUUAAUUUUUAAAUAAUUUUAAUUACUAAAUUAUUCAUUUAUUAUUUUCAUUAAUUUAUGAUUAAUUUAAUUAAAGUUAAUAAAAUUUAAGUAUCCUCCCAAUAAAAUAUAUAAAC